rnacentral:tRNA from 1 species
GCUGGAGUGGUGGAAUUGGUAGACACGCUAGAUUCAGGUUCUAGUGUCCGAUUAGGACGUGGGGGUUCAAGUCCCUUCUUCAGCACCA